rnacentral:lncRNA from 1 species
GUCCCCCCACUGACCAAAUGAUUGGCCCUUGAUUCUUUCAGCAAACAGUUACUGAACUACCACUGAGCACAGGGUUCCAUACAGGAAACUGAGAUGAGGAAACAAGUCUAAAGAGAUUAAGUCCAAGGUCACAGAGCUAGGAAAUGAGACGGAGUGGGGAAACGACCUAGGAUUUGAACCGAAGUCCCGACUCCCAAUCCCUUACAUGAUUCUGUGCCUAUGUACGGUGUAUGCGACGCCUUGAGAAGUUCCAGGUGGAGAGCUUGCUGCUGUUGGAGGUGCUCCGAGAGGAUUUCCCGGCAUGAGAGGACAGGCAUGUCGUCCGAUUGGAGCUUGAAGCUGGAGAAGAGAGUUGUGGGAGACGGUGAUGGGAGACAGCCGGCCCGCUCCCCUCCAUCGCACAGGAGGGAGACGGGCCCAGAAACGGGCAGGGGCUGGCCCCGCUCCCCGGGGCUCCGGAAUCAGAGACUCCCAGCGGCGAUGCGGUCAGAGAUGCACCCUGUCCGGGAGCUCUCAAUGAGGGGCUCAUGGUGGGGGAGAGAGUGACAUCCUGAACAUCUAUCACUUCCUUCAAUUAUUAAAAAAAAA